rnacentral:misc_RNA from 1 species
UUGAUUGCGAAUCGUUGCCUUCAGUGCUGGCCAGCUCUGGCAAGUGCACGCCGGUGACUUUCAUCCAAUACCCUGUGAACCUUUGGCCUUUGCCAGCUUCGGCCGGCAGAGGAAUUUCCACAUACUCGAAUGUAAUGAAAUAUAUUGUUGUGCGCAAGCACUAAUGUA